UGUUGUAGCUAUCUGUUUUACCUCUCACCAAUCUCAAAGUCACAAGUUUCUGCCAUCCGCGUUGACAGCACGCCUGUUUGUGUGCAUGAAGGGGAGCAGUGCUUCAGGCGGAGGCAUGCAUGCUUAUUGCCAGUGAGCAGUAAAGAUCUAUUCCUAUAACGCCCACUCUUCAGCGUGCUCCAAGACGAACAGACGCUUCGUGCGUAUUUGUCUUCUAACUCAUCUAUCAGGAUGAUAUUGCGAGGGGCUUCCUUCACGAGGAUUUACACCACUGACGGAUUGGAUUGUCCUGUAUUUGAGCAGCAUACGGAUAUGUAUUCUUAUCUACUUAUCGCAAGAUGAAAUGAAAAGCCACGGAAAGUAGAUAUCUGUUUCUCCGCACCUUGGAAGAAGGGUCGAGCACAAGAAUGGGAACUAUUUAUGCGCAAAAGCAAAAGUAGAGGCAAAUUGCAUUGCGCUGCAUAAAGAAAAUGAAAGCUUGCUUUUUGGUUCACAUUGUGAAGAACAUUAUGGUACUGUGCAACCGCACCGAACAUGUCUGAUCUUUUAACCCAGUUUUAAUUAGUGCAAUCCGACCUCGUCCUCAUCAAACGACCACCGGCUUUCACUUUUCACCGGAGGAUAAGGUACAUCGCUGUGGAAAGGUGGAUGGAGCUCCAAAAUCUCCAGCGCUGUCUGUCGUGGCUCUGAGCGCCAGAUACUCUCAUGGGCCAAUGCAUCGAGUCUCUGCUCUCUGCCAGCCUGUCCACAUGUAGCAGCCUGUGUCUACAGCUAUCCGCCAGUGGAGUCUUCAUGAACAUCUCCAGCCAUUUUACGCUUCUCAGAUAGAGUUCCCCCGAGAGAUGGAGUGGCUGAUCUUCUCCCUGCUGGUGCUGGCUGUGUCUACGGCGGGACAGCUUUGCCCCAAGCGUUGCAUGUGCCAGAACCUGUCACCAUCUCUAACUAUUCUCUGUGCCAAGACCGGCCUGCUUUUUGUGCCAACAGUCAUUGACAGGCGUACAGUAGAGCUGCGUCUCACCGAGAACUUCAUCACAGCGGUGAGGAGAAGGGACUUCGCAAACAUGACAAGUCUCCUGCACCUGACACUGUCCCGCAAUACCAUUAGCCAAAUUAUGCCUUACACUUUUGCCGAUCUUAAGCGGCUGCGUGCAUUGCAUCUAGACAGUAACCGUUUGAGCGUCAUCACGGAUGACCACUUCCGGGGACUCACCAACCUUCGGCAUCUUAUCCUUGCCAACAAUCAACUUCACAACAUCUCUCCACAUGCAUUUGAUGACUUUCUGGGGACUCUUGAGGACCUGGAUCUCUCAUACAAUAACCUGGUGGAAAUACCAUGGGAGACUAUAGGACGCCUCACCAAUGUGAACACUCUUAACAUGGACCAUAACCUCAUAGAGUACGUGCCUCUAGGGGUCUUUUCAAACCUACACAAACUAGCCCGUUUGGAUAUGACAUCCAAUAAGCUAAAGAAAAUACCCCCUGACCCCUUGUUCCUUAGGAUUCCAGUUUAUGCCAAGUCAAAAGGGUCACCCCUUUCCUCCCUCGUCUUAAGUUUUGGAGGGAACCCACUGCAUUGUAACUGUGAGCUACUCUGGCUAAGGAGGCUAACAAGAGAGGAUGACCUGGAAACUUGUGCAUCACCUCCUGACCUUACAGCAAAGUACUUCUGGACCAUCCCAGAGGAGGAGUUCAUAUGUGAUCCACCUGUUAUUACAAGGAAAUCUCCCAAAACCUUCACAAUGGAAGGCCAGCCCACUAGUCUGAAAUGCAAAGCCAAUGGAGACCCAGACCCAGAUGUUCACUGGAUCUCCCCAGAGGGCCGUCUAACUGCCAACACCUCCCGAACUUUAAGCUUUAGCAAUGGGAGCUUGGAGAUCAACAUCACUUCACUGAAGGAUACAGGAGUCUUUACCUGCAUUGCAUCAAAUGCCGCUGGGGAGUCUACAGGCACGGUGGAGUUGGUGGUAAACCCACUGCCGCACCUAGCUAACAGCACUAACCGAAUCAGAGAACCUGAUCCAGGACCAUCUGAUAUUCUAACCUCUGCAAAGUCGACUUCAUCCGUAAGCAAUGAGACCAGGUCUCAGGAGAGGAAGGUGGUACUUGCUGAGCUUACGGCAAAUUCUGCACUCAUAAGAUGGCCUUCGCAACAACAUUUCCCUGGUAUCAGGAUGUAUCAGAUUCAGUAUAACAGCUCAGCAGAUGAAACUUUGGUCUACAGAAUGAUUCCCUCCACGAGUUAUGACUUCCUGGUGCGAGACCUCGUAUCCGGGCGUGAGUACGACCUGUGCGUUCUGGCCGUCUAUGAUGAUGGCGUGACCUCGCUGACCACCACACGGCAGGUGGGCUGUAUCACAUUUGUCACAGAGACAGAGUACAGCCAGUGCCAGUCACUCCGCAGCCAUUUCCUGGGCGGAACCAUGAUCAUCAUCAUCGGAGGAAUCAUCGUGGCCUCCGUCCUUGUUUUCAUCAUCAUCCUCAUGAUCCGGUAUAAAGUCUACAGCCAUCAAGGGACAGAUUCUGGAAAGGGAACACAAAUGACAAAUGUAUGCUCACAAAGAAAUGGAGGGCAAGCGGUGGGGCAGGUCCCGCACUCCAGCUCCAAAAUCGUGGAGGGCCAAGAGGCUAUGGGAGCGGGUUUAGGAGGGGCCUCCGCUAGUUUAAAAGACUCCACCGCCAUGGUUCUGGUCACAGACUCUGAGACAACUGUGCAGAUAUCAGAGAUGAUCUCAGAGGACAUAGUCAACCCCACACAAAAGAACCAACCCAGGACUUAUAUUGAGCUCAAGAGACAGCAUUCUCAUUCCACUAAAGAGGGUACGAGCACAGACACACCAAGAGACACAGCAAGCCUGCAGGUCAGUGACGAGAAGAGGGUUCAACGAGAUUGGAGUGACUUUAAAAUUUGAUGACUCCUUCCGCUGUCUUACAAGAGACAGCCAUCUGCCCUAAAGAAGCUGGCCAGGUCAUCCGAUUAUGGGGAGGAAUAUGGGAAGAUUUGUAAGAACCCCUGCUGGACUUUCUCCCCUGAGCAUUCACUCCUCACACUGUAUUCCAAGGACUAUCCAGUCGUUUCCUACCGGGACAAAUUAGAGGACACAAUCCGCUACUGCAACAAAUGGAAACGGAGCACAAUAAUUGUUCUCCAUCGCAGGCUUUUGGAAAGUAUUGCCUUUUACAUCCACACAGCCGGGACUGUCUGUGUUUGCUGCCGACUACAGUAUGCAUUGUUUGCUGGACGGUCUGGGUUGAAGAACAACACCUCGCUUAAGGAAUACUCAUCAUCCUCCAGCCAUUCAGUCAUGAAAACUGCACCAGUGAGAGGAAAUUCAGAUGGGACAAAGUAAACAGUAUGUCUGUGCUUUCUGCACUUUCAUCAAUCUGUGAUUAUGCAUCUCCUCUGACUUUACAUUGUCGGUCAUGACCCUCUCGUCCAGUGAGAACUCAAACCUAAAGGACCCAAGCAACAAACAGACGGCAAAAGCAGCAGCAGAAGCAACAGUCCUGAAUGGGAGCACAAGUACACUGUACCUGUUAAUUUGAGUUGUUUGGUCACUUUUUAUUUUGCCAUGUUCUUUUGUAACUGUACAAAAAUGAAUUUAAGAUCUUAUAGUUUUGUACAUGUAAUUUUUAUGGUGUGGGAUUUUUUUAAUAAAAUAAAAG